GUUUCUUUGCAAUCGUGAAUUUUAGUAUUAACCACAUAUAUUUAGAUGAAGAUAUCGAAAAGGCUAAUAAGACUGUAGUACUGCUUUUGGAAAACCUGCUCGACGUAUAUGAUGUAAACACGGCAAUGUUUAUCAACGACAUCAUAGCAAAAAAAGUUGAGUCUCGCCGUAGUUUUGUAAGUAGAACACGAUAUAACAUUCGUUACAAAGUCC